GAUAACUCUGUAAGUUCACACCCUCGUCCACAUCUUGUUUAUCUUCAACGACUUCCAGGAGCCACUGACUGACAACUCAGUCCUAGUCCUCAUUGCUAAUUUCAAGCACCCAAUCUCAUUGUCCUGCCGUAACCUAACCCUUGACCCUUGUUGCCCUCCGAUCAACCCAGCCAUGGCGAGCCUCCCGAAAGAUCUACUCAUCUGCAUACUCUGCCAUCUACCGGUCAAACCACUCCUUCAGUUCCGCGCCGUCUCCAAGUCAUGGCGCCAUCUGUUUGAUAGUCCGGUCUUUGUCCAUCUCCACCUCAAGAACUCCAUCGGAACCGGCUCCAACCUCGCCCUCAUUCUCCAAAAGGACUCCGUGCUCUACUCCGUUGAGCUCGACCUCUUGAACGAUCCUGUCGAGCUCGCUCACCCUUUGAUGUGCUACAGCCAUCGAAUUCAAGUUCUGGGCUCCUGCAACGGAUUGCUCUGUAUCGCUAACGUGGCCGAAGAUAUCGCUUUUUGGAACCCAGCCAUCAGACAGCACAAGUUCUUGCCCUUUUUACCAGCCGAGCCAAACAAGAACAGCGGGUCGAGCUAUCUGGGCGCGCGGGUUUACGGGUUCGGGUACGACCAGGUUCAUGACGAUCACAAGCUGGUGAGGAUUUCGCAAUUUAUUAAUUUAAGAAACGAUGGGUUUGUCUCGAAGGUUAAGGUCUAUAGUCUGAGAGAGAAUGAGUUGAGAGACUCCGAAGACAUGCCUUAUGUUCUGUGUUACACGAAGAAAAACGGGACACUUGCUAGUGGUUGUUUGCAUUGGGUGGUGAACAGGAAGUUCAAAUUUGACGAUGCUGAUCUGAUUGUCGCGUUUGAUCUUACGGUUGAGAGGUUUCGGGAGGUGCCGAUGCCGGAAUGUGCGGUGGAGAAGUUUCAAAUAGACGUAGGAGUGUUGGGUGGGUGCUUUUGUAUGGUUGCGAAUUACUAUGAUAUUCACGUUGAUGUUUGGGUGAUGAAGGAGUAUGGGGUUAAGGAGUCUUGGGCCAAGCUGUUUACGGUCGAACAAGAUGUAAUAUUUUUUGGUGGGACUUUCAAGUAUUUGAGACCCUUGGCCUAUUCAAAGAGUGGUGAGGAGGUUCUGUUGGAACAGAACCAUGACAGGCUUGUGUGGUACGAUUUGAGAAAGAAAAAGAUCAAGAACGUGAAUCUUGCCGGUCUGCCUGCUCCAUUUGAGGCUCAUAUUUGUGUCGGAAGUCUUGUCCCGGCUGAGGUGAAUAGAGAAGACAAUGAGAAGCAGCAGAAUUUAGGAGCAGAGAAGAUCAAGAGCAAGAAAAGGGACGAUUUCCUGUCAAAGGGCUUCAAAUUGGUGUUAUAAGCAAACAGAAGAAUGAAAGGAAGCGUGGAAAAGAGCUUGAGCGCAUCUCGACUAAUCCCAUGGGACCUUGAAGUUAACGGUCAGUUAAACUUCCAGUGGCCUUGAAGGGACUCGAACUGGAAAGUGAAUGCAAAUAGAUAUACUUCUGCAUCUGAGAAUGCUUGAAAAUGGAAGAAAACAAUUACUACGAUGAAAGUGACAGUACAACAAAGCUUUAUUUUGCGAAUGAAUGAGCGUCCCUAUUCUUGCCACUCAUUUUUAGGUUGCCUUACGUGCGUUGGACUUCCUGCUGCAUACUGGUUGGUAAAUGGGUCUCUGAUGUGAUGAGAGUGCUGCUCUAAUUAGAGGGCUUUUCACAAAAUGUGUGGAACUAUAAUGGGUCGCUGGCUAUGGUAGACGUGGCAAAAGGAAGGAAGUGUCUCCUGAUGCAACCCCUUAAGAAAAUGAAUAAUGUUAGAUAUAGACUUAUGUUGAUUGAGGAAGUUCUAUCAUAUCCCCUUUCUCUCAUUCUCUCUCGUAUGGAGCGAGUGCACAUAUGGCUAUUUUUGGUGAUGAUUGCGUAAAUAGUUUUCUGUUUCAUUCCAUUUUUUUUCCUUACUUUAGAUUACCGUCUAUUAUGGGCUUUUGUGUGGAAUCGAAGGCUUUCAAGCUUUCAUCAGAGGCAUGGAGGUCUUCAACAAAAAUUGUGGAGAAGAGCAUAAGGGUUUGGAGGUUUGUAAUUCUGGGUUAUAGUGGUAUAGGGUGGUUGGUGGCUAGGGUGGAAGCAGUGUUUCUAGCAGAGAGACAAUCAGAAUUCAUAAAACGCAUGCGCCAAGGAAACAUAGGAUUUGUGGCUCAACAAUGCUCCACCAUACAUGGUAGAUUUUUAACUGUAAUCGAACAUGGUGGAGGAGGUCGGUGGAGUGUUCUAGUCAUUUUGAAAGAGUAAGAAGGCCUAGGUUGGGAGAAAUUUGAUGUCAAAUUAUGCAUAUUUGCUACUCUAUGGUGGUGAGGCGAUCGUAUGAAGAAGCUCUGAAUACGGGUCAUGCUUUGGUGACUCAGUUUGAUAAUAGGGGCAAGAAGGGAAAUUGCCAAAAUGGUCUGCAGCCUUUGUAGAUAACGCAUGGACGGAACCCAAGUCAAACAUGGUCUGUCUCCUUUGAAAGCUUAAGAACCGUUUCUUAUGCAACAAGGGAUGGUUUUGGUCUUCCCAAUUGCAGUAUGGCUGAAAGAGAUAUCCACAGUACAUUGAAAGAGAUGCAAAACCAGCUUGCUGAGUUGAACGAAGCGGUUGCUAUGUUAUCGGUGAAACUUGAUGGGCUGGGUGUGAUAAGAGGUGGUAAUGGGGCUGUAAGGCCCAAUAAGGGGGAUUCUAAUCACAAGUUAUUUAAACAAAAGAGUGAGCUAGGCGUGAUAGGUGACUGGCCGAAUCCUAUAAAAUUUGAUAAAGGAAAAAGAAAGUUGGGUUUGGCAUAGUUUUGAUAUAUAGAUCUAAGAUAGUGUGGUGGGUCAAAAGUAGAAUUGAGUCAAAAGCAGAAUUGGGUAUCGACGUAGAUUCUGCAGAAACGGGUUGCCCUCUGCCAUGGGUGACACAGAAAAGUUCGUCGAGGUGUGCCAGUGCUACAUCCCCAAUAAGUGUUCUCUACGACGAAACAACAUCACUCAUGCUGGCGUUGAAGGAAAAUAGUAUAACACCAAGCCCUGGGGGAGGUGUAGGGUCUAUCAAAGUGGCACACCCCCUUUCAAUUUUCCCUUCAUUGAAACGAUGACCUCACGUGGGUGCUGGAGGUGAAGUAACUUGACGUAUUGUCGAGAGUUGGGUGAGUUUAUGGGUUUUCCCCAACCCAAAACUUCAAAUGAUGAUCAUGGCUCCACCACCCAUGACAAAGGGAACCAGUUUCUCAAUACCUCUUUAGGCACCUUGUGGGUCAACUCAGCUUUGGACAAGUUGGUGACAACAAUAGUGGCGCAGUGGAGGAGAUGCUGGAUUUGUAUGCAGGAGAUGGUGUGGAGGAAAUGGUGGGGUUGUCAUUCAUGCCUUGUGAGGAGGAAUAUUUAGGGCAUGGUCUACAGUGUGGAGUUGAGUUAGCAGAAGAUGUUGUCCCCCUUGAUAUCUCUUCUAUCAAUCAACAGUAUAGCUGGUUCAUCAUCGAAUUCCAUGUGGAAGAUAUGAGGACCAGUUCACGGCAAUUCUCACUACAAUUGAGGCAAUUCACUUGCUUAGAACAAAAUCAAGAUCUAAAAAGAGCAAUAAGUUAAAGUGUUUUACUUGGACAAUCAAUUAUGAUACUAAGGGAGGUAGUCCAAGUCGAGGAGGGAGGACUAGAGGGAAGGCAUAACCAGUUGUAAUAUGAAGCCCACGAUUCUAACUUGGAAUGUGUGGGGACUAAAAUCUAAUUCUAGUAGAGUUAAAACCAAAUAUUAUUUUUUGUGUUUUGUUUGAAA